rnacentral:rRNA from 1 species
GACAGAGGGUGCAAACGUUGUUCGGAAUUACUGGGCGUAAAGCGCGUGUAGGCCGCUUGGAAAGUCGGAUGUGAAAGCCCUGGGCUCAACCUAGGAAGUGCAUUCGAAACUUCCAAGCUGGAGUGCUGGAGAGGAAAGCGGAAUUCUCGGUGUAGAGGUGAAAUUCGUAGAUAUCGAGAGGAACACCGGUGGCGAAGGCGGCUUUCUGGACAGUCACUGACGCUGAGACGCGAAAGCGUGGGGAGCAAACAGG